rnacentral:lncRNA from 1 species
GGAGGACCCGCCUUAACUGGGCUGAACUUUGCUAAAUCUAGAAACUCUCAGCUUGGUUCAUGUAACUUACCUAGUUUUAUUACUUCAUUUGGUUUCUGAAGGUCAGAACUUUCCUAAAUUGGCUAGGUACCAGUUGAUUGGGGAAAUACUAAGAGAAAUGAAAUCUAUGAUCUGAUGAGGUGGGAUUCAGUGUGAAGAAAGGGGUAUACAGGAGAAGUAAUAUGACAUGAAGUACCUUUCAUUCUCAGCAAAGUCUGCAUAUGACUAUUGACAUGAGUCAUUAAGAGGUACAGUCUUGAAUGAUUUUCCUAAAGUUUGAAUGAUUUUCCUGUUGAGUUUCGUGAAUGAUUUUCCUGUUCAGUUGGCAAUUACUCAUUUGAAAACGCUUGGGCCUCAUUUGCUCAUAAAUCAUUUCCAAAGAGAAUUUCAGAAAUGGAAGGGUCCUUAGAGAUUGUCUAGUCCAACAGUCUAUUUCAUAAACAAGAAAACUGAAAUACAGAGAUUGAGAGA